UACGGGGGGAGCAAGCGUUGUUCGGAUUUACUGGGCGUAAAGGGCGCGUAGGCGGUGCGGUAAGUCACCUGUGAAAACUCUGGGCUCAACUCAGAGCCUGCAGGCGAAACUGCCGUGCUUGAGUGUGGGAGAGGUGCGUGGAAUUCCUGGUGUAGCGGUGAAAUGCGCAGAUAUCAGGAGGAACACCGAUGGCGAAGGCAGGUCUCUGGGCCACUACUGACACUAAUGGACGAAAGCUAGGGGAGCGAAUGGG
rnacentral:rRNA from 1 species